ensembl:lncRNA
AUGAUUCUGCUGACCGUGAUACAUUACUGGAGUCUUGCAGCUGCCAUGUAUAGGAAGCGUCUACUCUUUGCAUGGAGUGACGAAGCACAUCCUAUUCUGUCACACACACACGCACACACACAUGCAUACUUAUAUUUAUACAAAGGACAUUCAUUUCAGAAUGAGCUUUAUUUAAACUUCUUAUUCAUUUUCAUUUGUUUCAGUAUGAUCGAAUCAGUAACCACAGGAAACACAAUUCAUUCAUUCAUUCUCUAUUUAUUGUUAGGUUUACAUUUACAAUACAUUGUGACUGAUUUGAAGUGCACACAAAUUAGUUAUGUUGUAUCUGUUAUUUAUAUUUGUUUCUAUUUUGAGUUUAAGUUUACCGGUGAUCAACUUCAGCCAUGGUCCGUUGCAGCCGCAUCCUGGUGUGACGAAAAACAAGAGUCCGGCAGGAACACCAUAUUUAAGCUUAUUGGUUCCGUCUGGACGUACCAUUCACUGGGAGUUUCCGGGGGGAGGAAGGAACGUUGAUGUGUUUAUUAAUUGAUUUAUUUAGUUGUACAUUUAUGAUAUUUGAUUACAUUUUGCUUUCCUUAUCUUUAUUUACAAUGUAUCUCUGUUUGAUUUGAUUUAUGUAAGGUUAUAUGUUGUAUGUAAAGUUAAAUUGUUUCCCCUCUUAAUUUGUAAUGGGCCCAUCCCUUCCUUUAUAAGCUGUUGCUUUGUUCAUUUGAGCAGGUCAGUUUUAGUUUGUUUGUUUGGUUUUUGUCCAAUUGUUUUGAUCUCGGUUUCUGUUUGUUUAUUUUUGUUGUAAGUGUGUAAAGUUAUUUUGUUUUGGGGUUCAAAUAAAGACCCAUUUGUUGCGCAACGCUUGUGUUCCUUGUUCUUGGCUUCUCGGUCCCUCACAGGGUGUUAUGGGAAGUGUUUCCGGUUCCGGUUUACCUAAUUAAUGCAGCCUAAAAAUCCUUUAACGGAUUUGGAUAUUAAAAGCAUAUUAGGAUGUUAUGUGUAUGCCAGGUUAAAGAGAUGGGUCUUUAAUCUAGAUUUAAACUGCAAGAGUGUGUCUGCCUCUCGAACAAUGUUAGGUAGGUUAUUCCAGAGUUUAGGCGCCAAAUAGGAAAAGGAUCUGCCGCCCGCAGUUGAUUUUGAUAUUCUAGGUAUUAUCAAAUUGGCUGAGUUUUGAGAACGUAGCGGACGUAGAGGAUUAUAAUGUAAAAUAAGCUCAUUCAAAUACUGAGGUGCUAAACCAUUCAGGGCUUUUUAAGUAAUAAGCAAUAUUUUAAAUGAUUAAAUUAUGAUUUAAAUGAUAAAUUGUGUUGUGGGAUACAGUAUUCUGCAGUAAAAGCUGAAACCACCAAAACUAUUAAACAGGACACAUCCCCCAACAUUGUUCCAUCAAUACUUGAUUUUCAAUAGCAGAUUCCUAAACUUUUACACUGCACACAGUGUGCUCUGCUUGCUUAGUAUAUCAUUUGGACAUAAAUACAUUUUUAUUUACUUCAAAGUUUAGUGUGUAUAUACUAUAUUUUGCUUCUGAAUAUAACAAUCAAGGGUAUAUGUGAGGUAUUAGUUUCACUUGUCCAUGCAAUUACAAUAAUCAGACUCUUAAACUUUCAAGAUAAAAAACAAACAAACAAACAAAUAAACAUAACCAAAAAACACAAUAAAUGUAUGAUAAAUGUUGUCCUUAAGACUUAUGCUCUAUAUUUCUAGACUACAUAAGCGUUUGUAAAGUCAUACGAUUUGGGUGAGUAACAGACCUACAUUUAUCUCAGUUUUUCUCAAUUGCAACUGGAUCACUGAAGUGAACUCAAGGACUGGGCUGCAUUUCCCAAAAGGACUGCAAGCCUUAAUAGAUGCUAGAAUCCAUUGGUGGGAAUAGUUUCUAUGACUUACGUAGGCUAAUAGUGAAUUACGGUGACUUUGGGAAAUGCCGCUCAGAGCAGUCUGAUUCAUA